AGAUGCUUACAGCAUCUUUCAUUUUUUCAUUUUUCACUUCCCUCUUCUUUCCUUCUCUCUGUCUUUCCGUUUUCUCUAUUUCUCCAUUUGUCUUUCGGUUUCGAUUCCGAUCGGAUCGUGUGGAACGGUGUUUGGCCUGUUUUUCUCGCUGUUUUCCACGAACGAAUCGCUCUGGUUCAGGUGUUUUUGUUCAUGCGUUGCUUUAUUUUCUGUUUGGUUAGGAAGAAAUUUUUUUAAUUGAUUGUUUUAAAGUUCGGCUCUUCACCUAUUUUGCUCAGCGUUUUCUUUAUUUCUUCGUGUUUUACAUCUGGUUCUUUCGUUUGAUUUCGUUUUUUUGGUUGCAGGAAAUAUUCGUCUUCGAAUUUUAGGGUUUAUUCUGCGAGCUUGCAAGCCCUUUUUGGGUCAGGAAUAUAAUUUAUCUCUUUGCUGUUAAAUUUGUUUUUUAUUUGGGUUUUUUGAUUGUUUGUGGUUCAAUUUUUCCCUGAAAAUUUAAAAAGAGAGGAAUGGUCAUGAUUAAUUUUUUGGUUUUGCCUUGGAUGUUUCCGUUUUUGCUGUGGAUGAACAAUUAUUAUUAUUAUUAUUAUUUGUGUUUUAAUUAAAAGGCCAAAGUUUUGUCAAGAUGAUAUAUGGAUGGACAUGAUUACCUUUUGGGUUUACUUUGCCUAUUUCAGUUAGGAUGAUUUAGUACUCUACACUUCCUUGAACAGGUAUGAUCACGUUAAAUAUUGAUGAGCUACGGUUGGUAUUGCAUAACCGAGUCAUAUUGCUCCGAUGCUAUUUUAAUUUAUCUACUAUAUCACUGGCACGAAAGUUCACUCAGGUUUCAUCUUUGGGUCAUAUUUCUCAUGUCGCUUCAUUUGCAGGUUGAUAAUUAUAUUGGCAAAAAUCAUCUCUUCAAGCGGAGUAUUAUUCUGAUAAAAGCCUGGUGCUACUAUGAGAGUCGUAUUCUCGGGGCCCAUUAUGGGUUGAUUUCAACGUAUGUUUUGGAAAUGUUAAUCCUAUAUGUUUUCCAUUUUUUCCAUUCGUCACUGGAUGGCCCUCUGGCAGUCCUUUAUAGAUUUUUGGAUUACUUAAGCAAAUUUGACUGGGAGAACUAUUGUAUAAGUUUAAAUGGACCAGUAUGCAAAUCAUCCUUGCCUGAUAUAGUGGCUAAGGCACCCGAAAACGGGAGAGAUGAUCUACUGCUGAGUGAAGAAUUUAUUCGAAAUUGUGUGGAAAUGUUCUCUGUUCCAGCAAAGGGGUAUGAGACAAACUUGCGAGCUUUUUCCCUGAAGCAUCUUAAUUUAAUAAAUCCACUGAAGCAGGACAACAACCUUGGGCGAAGUGUCAGCAGAACUGUUUAAGGUUACUACAUAUGGCUUAUAUGAAGUAAGAGUUUUUGGUGAUGGGAGUUAUCAGGUGUCUGCAAUAAUAAGAAUGCAAAGUAAUAGGUUUGUCAUCUUUUGAUUUAUAUUAAUUUCUUAUUGUUUCAUAGAUUAAUAAUUAUGUGACCUGAGUAUAUUUUAUUGUGUUAAUGUGUAGCAAAAUAGAGCGAGAGUGAAAAAUGAAUGAGGGUAAGAUUUUCAAGCUAUCCAAGGGCUUUAGUAUAACAAAAUGUCCCGACAUUUUAAACUUUUUUCCUAUUUACCUUUAAAUUUUUUUAGCCUCUCAAAUUCAUUUUCUGCAUUAGUUUUAAAUUUUCAAUUUAAUUCUCAUUAGUUUGAUUCCAAUUCAAUAAAUUUGUGUAACAUACAGUUUUCUAGAGAAAAAGAAUUGACCUUUGAAUAGAAGCUGUAGUCUUGCUUGACAUUACUAGACUAGCAGGUAAAAAACCUACGAUGCAUGGACACGGGGAAAAGCCAGCAUAUCCCGUAUUUGACACGCAGGGAUACGGAUACGCACAUGAUACGCAUGGAUACGGGCCCGAUACGUAUCCGAACGAAUGGAUACGUUUAUUGAUGAGAUACGCGUAUCAUACUAUCGAGAUAUGCGUAUCAUACUUUUUGCAUACGUUUCAAACUAAAUCAGAGGAUAAUUAGAGAAAAAUAAUCCAAUAAAUCCGCACAGAAUCAUGAUUGAUUCAAAUUAGCUAAACUGAAACGAUUGUUUGACUAAAAACCAAAACGAUUUCGAACCUCAAAAAUCAAACUUGUCGUCUGCAACAGCUUCGUUUGUCUGUUGUCUCUAUCAUCUCCGUCUGCCACUGCUCCGUCAUCUCCAUCGUCUCCAUCUGCACCUGUUGGUGAGAGCUUUCGACUUCGUUUUCGCUUUGUUAAUUUUGAAGCUCAAUCUGAUUCCCAGAACCCAUCUCUGAAACUGAAAGGAGGCUUGCUUUUCCGUUUUGAACUUCGAAGCUAAAAUAUUCUUUUGCCUUGACUGAUUCAAUGACUUUUAGCUCAUCUGUUGUGUUAUGUAAAUUGGAAAAACUUAAAGCCCCUUUUGCUUUUUGUAUAUAAUAUUAUUAUUAUAUUUUGUAUGCUUAUUUUCACUUAUCUUUCUGUUUUGAGUUUAUUGAAAUAAAUUUAAGUUUGGGUAAUAAAUUUGAAUGCUUAUUUUAUAAUAUUUUAGAUAUAUUUAUUUAUAUAUGUUUUUAUUUGCCGUAUCCUUGAUGUAUCGUGUCUUCGUUUUUAGAACUUUGACGUGUCUCUGUGUCGUAUCGUAUCGUAUCUCCGUAUCUGUGCCCGUGUCCAUGCAUCCUAGUAAAAAACUCAACCUUUUCCUAUCUCUAAAUGUUGAUUCCUCUCUAUUCAACUUAGAGUAAUUACUUUUUGUUUUCAAGCCUUGAAUGUUAUAAACCGUUACAUUUUUUAAACUGUUAAGUUGAUGAUUACAUCGAUCCAUUUCUUCAAAAAUUUAAAUUAUCAGAUGAUGUCUCAUGAUAUCGACUCCCCGUACAAGGGCAUUAUGAAUCCAGCCAAGUGUAACCUUCUCAUUCCCUUUUUUCAACAUUUAGAAUAUAAUUUUUUUUUAUCAUGCAUAUUACCGAUCUUCAUUCUUGAUUUGAUUCGUUUAGUAUUAAAGCUGAUGCAACGAUUAUUAUCUCAUUGUACCACUGUAGCUACUACCACAGUUGUCACAAUUGCAGAAAUUCCCAAAAACAAUAAGAUUUGCUAUUGAGAAAAGUAAGACAUCUAUUUUUAUUUUCCACCUUUUAAAAUGAAACAAUCAAAUUAUAAAGUUUACUUAUAUUCUACAAGUUGAAUGCAAAAGUCAUAACAUCAAAUGUUAACAUAAAAGAUGACUUCUGGCGAGAGACCAGUCCAAAAGGCCAAGGCUGAGAGAACUUAUUAGGAUGAGAAAAAGAAAGAUUUGUUUGAAAACUUGCGGAAGAAACAAUGAGGCGGUUGAAGUGCAGAAUGAAGGUUUACAUUAAUGCUGCUAGGCUAGAUCACUCGGUGAAAUUUUCAUCUCGAGGCGAUUGGAGCUGAAUAUGGAUAAGUUUUUGAGACUUUUAGACUUUUUGGACCUCUCAAGAUUGAUGUGGCCAUCUCCGACAUCUCCGUCACCUUUUAGGCUAUUUUUCGACCAUCUCCGUCAACCAUUGGGCUUCCAAAUAGAAAUGGCAAGUGGAAGUUCAACGAAAGGUACUAUGUUGCCUCAUAGGCCGCCUAAGCGUUGAGCUUGAGGGCUUGAAGAGAAAAGUGCGUGUAAGACAUGAAACCUUGAAGGACUUUGUUAUGAUUUUAGUUAAGUGGAAUAUUUUUUUAAAGUUUGAACUUUGUUAUGUUUAUUUUAGGUGUGGAUAUUUGAAAUGUGAUGUUUAUUUUAAAUUUGGACUUUUGAAGACUUAAA